rnacentral:lncRNA from 1 species
AAAGUUUUGUCCAUCUUUCCGUCUUGUUCCUGCAGAGGAGGAAGAGGAGGCGGGAGACUGACCAGAGGCCAUGAAGUAGGGGGCCUCAGGAAACGGGGCAGCUGCCUCUUUGCUGGGGGGCUCUGCUGCCAUGGGCGAGAGCUCACCGCCCCCCGGAGUGUGAGCAAUUGGUGUGGGCUGCAGGGCGUUGGCGGGCAGCACCGUGGGCAGAAACCCGGGGUAGAUCAUGUAGGUGGGUCCGUAGGCCCCCGGACUCAGGGCCAGGGGAGGCACAGGGAGGGACAUGGGAGCCAAAGCCUGCUGCUGGGAGGUCAUGGGCACAUCCACAUACUGCCCUGUCUCGGGGUCAAACAGUCUCCGGGUCAUGGGCUGCACUGGUGUGUCCACCAGAUAGUACUGGCCAGUCGUCACGUCCAGGAGCAUCUUGCGCUGGGUCUGCUGAGGCUGUGGCUGCUGGAAGGGGUCCGUGGGAACCGCAGCUGGGCCUGCCGGGGCCGGGGCAGGCAUGCCUGGCGGGGAGAAGCAGAGGACCUGGGGCUGGGCCCCCUGCAGGGUGAAGGGCAGUGGCUGCUGGUGGUAGAUGGCUGUGGGGGGGUGCUCGGGGCUCUGUGGCCCCGUGGGGGCAGCUACCGUCUCCCGGGGGUUAUCAGGUUUGGUGCGCCAAGCCGGCCGGCUGGUUCCACUGACCUGAGAGCCUUUGGGGCUACUGGGGACCUGGCUGCGGGCACUCAGGGGGGGCAAGCUGCAGAGAGUGGCCGCCGAGGAGGCUGGGGGCCCCUCCCUGCCAGCCCCAGGCCUGCCCGCGAGCUCCCCAGCUGCAGAGCUUCCCUUAAGAGGGAUGGUCAGGUAGUUCUCACUGUCACUGUUCCUCUUUUCCAAAGUGCUGCCGUUUUUCCUGUGGGUCACCUCUUCGAGAGGUGCCCGGGUGGCCGGAGAGAUCUUGAGGGACCGCAGUCCCUGCGAUUUGAUGCCCUUUGCCGCUGAGGGACUUUCUGGAGAAGGGCCUUGCGGAAACUUGCCAGCGACACCCCCGGUCUUCUGGGUGCUGCUGGCGCUCACUGUGAACACGUUCCGGGUGCUGGGGAGCGGGGGCAGGGGCUGCAGGGGCUGCAGGGGCUGGGCUCUGUCCGCAUCCUUGUGCACGGGCGGGAUGUAGAGGGACCGGGGCCUCUCCCUGGCCAGGUUCUCAAAGGCGGCCGCGCGGGCGGACACGCUCUCGGUGCUCGGGUUGGAGUUUCUCCGCUGCAGACGCUCCGCGGGGCCGCCUCGCAGGACCACCCCGCCUUUGUUUCCCGCGCCCCGCUCUUCCGCCUCGCCCAGCCGUUUGGCCACCUUGUCGGGGUCCCGCUCAGCCCCCGCGGCCCCUUCCCUCUCCUCACUGGCGAUGAGCGACAGGACGUGGCUGUCGGUCAUCAGGGGCAAGGGAUCGCUUUUCCGCUUCCACUCGUUCCUGUUGAAGCUGUACAGCUCUCCAUGGACCUCACCGCGGCGGUCAGCUUCUCCAGGGCAUUGCGGGAUGGCCGGGGGCCUUUCCCUUCCUCCUUGGCCUCCUCCUCUUUGACCUUCUCUGGGGUCUUCUGAGCCUUGGAGACGAUCUUGAGCACAGGGAGGUAGGAGCCCUGCUCAGGCUUAUUGGGGGCAAUGGUGGCCACAGGCAGCCUGCCAGAGGCCCUAUGAACCAAGACUGUGCCUUCUGGCGAGGAGGAAUUCAAGACCCGGCAGCCGCCCACCUUGCCCACGUUCUCCCGGGGUUCUCGGUCCAUGCUCUCUUCCCUCUGGUUCACCACUGCCUGGCACGUAAUCACCAUGGGGGACAGGGAUCCAGAUCCUCCAGCUGCAGGAGCCAGCUGCCGAGGUUUGGGCCCGGUCAGCCCCUGCUCUGGGGUAACGCUGCCCUUAUCGCUGCUGUCCCCUGACCCUUUGAUGAGUUUCCGGACAUCUCUCACCUGGUGGAGGGGGCCUUGUGCCUUGGACUUGUCCCUGA